rnacentral:lncRNA from 10 species
CCUCUUUUUUAAAUAUAUUUUUAUUAUUAUUUUUGAGAUGGGGACUCACUCUGUUGCCCAGGCUGGAGUGCAGCGGCACGAUCUUGGCUCACUGCAACUGCCACCUCCCAGGUUCAAGCGGUUCUCCUGCCUCAGCCUCCCGAGUAGCUGGGAUUACAGGCAUACACCACCAUGCCCAGCUAAUUUUUUUGUAUUUUCAGUAGAGAUGGGGUUUCACCAUGUUGGCCAGGCUGGUCUUGAACUCCUGACCUCAGGUGAUCAGCCCACCUUGGCCUCUCAAAGUGCUGAAAUUACAGAUGUGAGCCACACACCUGGCCUAUUUUGGUCCUCUUUAGAAGGUGGUUUUAUAAUCAGCUGUAAAACUCCAACAGGUGCUCUUACAUGCAGGUUUCUGAUAACUUUGGAGAUUGUGACAUCAGAAUAGAGGGAAAAGUUUCAGGACUCAUGGAGAGCUAAAAUGUUCAUGAGUAUCAAGCAGAACAGGAAUUAACUGCAUAGACUGAACCAAUCUUUUUGACUUUUUGCUUAAAAUGUUUGCUGAUCCUUUGUUUUGUGUUUCAGUCUUAAAACUUUUCUUUUGAGCUAUUGACAGCUUUUAACAAUUUAGUAUACUCCUAUGACAAAAUUUGGAGCAUAUUUGUUUCUCUCUACCUGAUUUCUCCAGAAUUCAGAAACUAUUUGUAAGUAUUCUUAACUUAUGGUGAUACAGUUAUUUGCAUAAGUGCAAUAAGAAUCUGUUCUAAUUUGUAACAGGACACGAUUGGAGAAAUUGGUUGUUUUACUAAGACUUUGACUGGAAUGGUGUGCUUUUCUUUAAGGAAUCAAACUUGACUUAUGGAACCAAUAAAGUCCUUGGAAAAACUGGCCCCAUAUUUUGUGUACACAGUCUCCGUACAAGAUUUCUGACCUGUAGAACUCUUGCAAGAAGAAAGGACUAUGAGUUCAACUUUAGAGGGAGCCAUGGGGACUAAACAAAAUUCUGAGGCCCCCUCAACCAUCUAAAUGGACUUCCUUCUGGGCCAGGACACUCGAAAAUUAAACCUGAAAGACUGGUUCAGGCCAUGAUGGGAAGUGGGAGUCGAACAUGCCUCAUCAUACCCUCCAGCAUUAACAUCAACACAGACCUUAAGGCUGAUAAGAAGCAUUUACAAUCUAUUCUCUCUGAAGUCUUCUACCUGGAGGCUUCAUCUGCAUGAUAAAACUUUGGUCUCCACAACCUCUUACAACCCAGGCAUUCCUUUCUAUCGAUAAUUACUCUUUCAACCAAUUGCCAAUCAGAAAAUUGUUAUAUCUACCUAUAAUCUAGAAGCCCCCACAUCAAGUUGUUUUGCCUUUCUGGACAGGACCAAUGUAUAUCUUAAAUGUAUUUGAUUGAUCUCUCAUGUCUCCCUAAAAUGUAUAAAACCACGCUGUUCCCCGACCACCUGGAGCACAUGUUCUCAGGGUCUCCUGAGGGCUGUGUCACAGGCCAUGUUCACUUACAUUUGGCUCAG